CCUACGGGAGGCAGCAGUGGGGAAUCUUGCACAAUGGAGGAAACUCUGAUGCAGCGAUGCCGCGUGAGUGAAGAAGGCCUUUGGGUUGUAAAGCUCUUUUGUAGGGGAAGAUAAUGACUGUACCCUAAGAAUAAGGUCCGGCUAACUUCGUGCCAGCAGCCGCGGUAAUACGAAGGGACCUAGCGUAGUUCGGAAUUACUGGGCGUAAAGCGCGCGUAGGCCGUUGAGUUAGUUAAUUGUGAAAUCCCAAAGCUUAACUUUGGAACUGCAAUUAAAACUGCUCGACUAGAGUUUGAUAGAGGAAAGCGGAAUACAUAGUGUAGAGGUGAAAUUCGUAGAUAUUAUGUAGAACACCAGUUGCGAAGGCGGCUUUCUGGAUCAACACUGACGCUGAGGCGCGAAAGUAUGGGUGGCAAAGAGGAUUAGAUACCCUCGUAGUCCAUACCAUAAACGAUGAUUGCUAGAUGUUGGAAAUUUAUUUUACAGUAUCGCAGCUAACGCAUUAAGCAAUCCGCCUGGGGAGUACGACCGCAGGUUAAAACUCAAAGGAAUUGACGG
rnacentral:rRNA from 1 species